GCCCUGCUCCUUCUCCACAUAGACCCCAGAGCAUCUGAUGGGUGAUUUGCCACUGCCAUCUUUCCACCUCAGUUUCCCACGUGGAAACGAGACCAAAAUCACUGCGAGCUAAAUCAUCCAGAGAGGACAUUCAGCUCUUUGAACGCAGGCUCCUCAUCAGUGAAAUGAAGAGAGCAAAGCCUUUCCUACAAGCCACAGGCUUCCAGAUCACCUCAGAGAGAAGGCAGACAUGUCCAGUAGCACAAAUGUUCAUUGGAUGAGUCAACAGAAUUGCUCACCAGAGCCCUAGAGACACCUCUGGAAGCCAUGGAUGAUGGAAGAUGGAAGAUGGAGAGAUGGGGUAGCACUGCCCAGCACCCUGCAGAAGCUGAUUGCAACACAGUUUGGGAGUUCCAUACAAACAGGAGUUGAUUAAGAUUUCUGAAGGGUUCCAGAACAUCUUGUGGGCUCCUUAAAAAGAAGCCCGAUUUUCACCUGAAAACUGUUAACUACUGCUACCUGGCAGGCUGCAGGGAUGCAUUCUGGACCUGGUUUCCAUUCCCAGAAUUCCCUCUGGAAUUACAGCCAGGACAUCGCUCCACUCAAAGGCAGAAGUUGGGUUUGUCUCCCAGGCCCUGCUGGGGCUCCAGUCUCAUUCUUGGAAGGGAAGAAUCUGUUUUCAUCUUCACAAGCGCGUUCCAGUUUCUAGUCUCCUUCCUUUAUUUUCCUCUCCUGAUUUGCCUCAGCCUGGACGCUUCCAACCACGCUGUCUCUCUAGGCACCGACUUUUCUGAUCUCUCAUCUGAAGGACCACAGGGAUGUUUUCAGUUUUGAAUCAGGAAUCAUCUUUGUCACAUGAUCACCGAACUGCUUCUUCUCCAUUUCCCCCCCUAUAUGUAACUUUUCUAUCCAUUAAAGAGGAAAGCAAUUUUGAAUACUAAGAAAGCAAAAAAAAAUGUACUUGAUUGUAUAAAAUGUAAGUCUUGCCACAGUAUUUGAUACUGCAGGACACACAACAAUUCCAACUUUUUAAAAUUUGAUCGAUAUUUUGGUUUUGCAAUUACCAACUGUUAUUUACUGUUGGAGAACAGAUCACAAGAUAUACAACAAAACCCACUUUAAGAGUUUUAUU